AGGUGUGUGCCACCAUACACAGAUCCCGUUUGUGUUUUUGAAACAGGGUUUCUGUCACUUUGUAGCCCAGGAUGGUGUGGAACUCAUUAUGCUGUCCAGACUGACCCCCAAACUCAUGGCGAUCCUGCUGCUGAAGCCUCUGGACGCAGCUCUUCAGUGGUAUUUUACCACACGUGUGUAUCGUGGGUGGUACGAGGUUUCUUAUGGCUUGGCUGCAGCCUUUCACGGACUAAUCUGACCUCCCCCCUCACUUACAUUACCUGGAGAACGUGAAGUCUGUGACCCAUGAACUUGAGCUUUCUUUUCCUCUGUCAAGAAGGGUGAAUUCAUGCACUUAGUCAAUUGAAUCCCAACCACAACAUCUGGAGGCUCCUUGUCUAGCAAAAUCAGGGCUGUGGCCCAGCCUGGGUAUCUUGGAAUCCCUAGGGACUCAACUCAGUCGGUAACUCAAGCUUUGAGCCAAUACCAGUAGGCACACAGCUUGAAUCGGAGCAUCUCUCCCUGCACCCACCAAGGAAGACAACUCACUCCUGGCUUGGGUCGCAAAGUUCCUGGGAAGCCAGAGGUGGCUCCUAUCACAGGGAGGGCAUUGGCCCAUGACCAAUCUAUCAGGAAGAAAACAGCUUGGUUAAGGAUCUCACGGAGCCCAGGGUGGCCUCAAACUCUAGGAAGCUGAGGACAACCUUGAACUUGUGAUUAUUAUAUUUCCACCUUCCAAGUGCCAGAAUUAACAAGCGUGCACCACCAUGCUCAGUGUAUGUGGUGUUGGGGACUGAACUCAGAGCCUUGUGCAUGCCAAGUAAGUUCUUCAUCAACCAGACUACAUCCCUCGCUCACCGAGGCUUUUCCCUCACCACGCUACCAUGAUGGAAUGCAAACUAUUUUAUUUCAAGCAAAACUAACAUUUCUUUAAGUUGCUUUCGUCAGCCAUUUUAGCACAACAAUGAGGAAAUAACUAAUACAUAACCCAAAGUUACCCAAAAUGUCAGGAAAGAAAAACACAAACCAUGCUUGUGAGAAAAGUUAAUUUACAGAACGUGCUGGCUAGUUCUGUGUCAACUUGACAGCAGCUAGAGUCAUUCUGGAAGAGAGAACUUCAACUGGAAAAAUGCCUCACAAGGUCUGCCUGUGGGUAAGUCUGUGGUAUAUUUCCUUGACUGAUGACUGGUGUGGGCUCUCCCAGCUCCUCCAUGGCCUCUGCAUCAGUUCCUGUGCUGACUUCCUUCGAUGGUGGACUGUGAUGUGGGAGUCUAAGUAAGUCUAAGUCUAAGUCUAAGUCUAAGUCUAAGUCUAAGUCUAAGUCUAAUGAACCCUUUCUUCUCCAAGUGGCUUAUGGUCAUGGUGUUUCAUCACAGCAAUAGAAGCCCAAAUUAGCUAGGCAGUGGUGGCACACAUCUUUAAUGCCAGAAUUUGGGAGGC